CAAGAGGGUUGUGGCACUUGUGGUUUAUUUUAGAGGUGGUUUAUUCUCUGAAAAGAGAAAAAAAAAAAAAAAAAGAAAGAAACAGAAGAAAAAAAAAGAAAGAAAGAAAGAAACAUUCUGAAAUUUUCACAUGGAAUAGAGAUCUCGUCUGCGUCCUGCUGAGUUGCUUUAAAGAGCAACACAAGAGGCAUUCACACAAUCUACUCUGGCAGAACAGUGACGGAGGCAAUAACUUCUAGAAAGAGGGCAGCUGAGGACAGAGAUUUCUACCAAACAGUACAUUUGGAUCUGGAAGAGGAUAUCUGUCCACAUUCCAUUCUUCCUUAAACUAAAAUGACAAGACUUGGUGUCCUAACCUCAGAACGAUUCUAUGGAUUACCAUUUUGCAAAACCUCUCUGAACAAGAGAUGUAUUAUUCCCAUUUUGGAUGAGAGAAGUCAACGUGGGAUUGCUUCCCUGAGUUACCUGGAAAGUGUGACGCUGAAAGAGUAUUUCACCUCAAAGCUCCUGCAGCCCUUUCCACAGGAACAUUUCUUCUACCUAAGCAUUAAUUGUUUUCCUAAUCCCACUCUCCCUCCUAAUCCCAUUCUCCCCCAAAGGAGAAUAGCUAAAUGUAAAAGAAAGCAAGGUAAAACAGUUACAGGUGUCUAGAACGGCUCAGUACUUGUGCUGUAUUUGCCUGUAUAGUGCUCCUUCUGUCUUGCCCAUUUAGGCAAACAUUGUCUCUUUGUAUGCUCCCACACUUUGUGUUUAAUGAUACUGCCCUUAUGUCUUCUACCUCUGAUACAAGAUCCUGAAAAAAAAAAAAAAAAAAAAGUAUUUUUCAACUUGAAUGGAAUUCUUUUGUCCAGUCUAAAGUUGCGCUUCACUCCUCAGUGUUCCUUGCCUGCCAAAGGAAAAUUAAAAAAAUAAAUAAAAAAGAAAUUUAAAAGUAUGUUUUCAUUUGCAAACAUUUAAGACUAAUGUAAGGCUACUCACUUUGGAAAAAAACAAAACCAUUUGCAGGGUAUGGUGCGCGUGUGUUGGGGAGGGGAGAUAGGGAGAUAUUCAUGUUUCAGAAUUUUCUAAAUCUACUUUUUUUUGAAA
ensembl:lncRNA